GGGAAGAAGCCGAACCCGUUCAACAAAGGACAUGUGAACCACGUGAGCGUGGAGGAGGUUGAAGCUCAGCCUGAUGCAGUAAUAGGUAAGUUUUUGGUUAAGUCAUUUACUGCAACCGUUCUUUUCGAUACUGGUGCAUCGCAUUCAUACAUAUCAAGGGGAUUCGUAAACAAGUUUAAGAUGUCCACCCAAGUUCUCAAAAGCCCCAUGUUAGUAACCUCGCCAGGAGCAGAGUAUAUGGCCACCCAAGGAUCUUUUCAGAUACCGUUGGCCAUUGGUAGGCAUGUUUUCCCCUCAGACCUCAUUGUUUUGGAAUCGCAAGGUUUGGAUGUGAUCUUGGGAAUGGAUUGGCUAUCGUUGUAUGGAGGAAACAUCGAUUGUGCCAGCAAGAUGAUUUUGCUUACCACCCCGGAAGGAAAAAGGAUCAAGUAUGUAUCCCGGCAUAUGCCGAAGAGGACUCAAGUGAAUUCCUAA
rnacentral:rRNA from 1 species